rnacentral:sRNA from 1 species
UACUAAGGUGAAAAAGCUUGGUGGAAGU